rnacentral:rRNA from 1 species
UAGGGAAUAUUGGGCAAUGGAUGCAAGUCUGACCCAGCCAUGCCGCGUGGAGGAAGAAGGUCCUCUGGAUUGUAAACUCCUUUUUUGGGGGAAGAAGAGACACCUUGCGAGGUGUUGUGACGGUACCCUAAGAAUAAGCCACGGCUAACUACGUGCCAGCAGCCGCGGUAAUACGUAGGUGGCAAGCGUUGUCCGGAUUUAUUGGGUUUAAAGGGUGCGUAGGUGGUUUAAUAAGUCAGUGGUGAAAGCUGGUUGCUCAACAAUCAAGUUGCCAUUGAUACUGUUAGACUUGAGAGAAGUGGAGGCUGGUGGAAUGGAUGGUGUAGCGGUGAAAUGCAUAGAUAUCAUCCAGAACGUCAAUUGCGAAGGCAGCUGGCUGUACUUUUUCUGACACUGAGGC